rnacentral:rRNA from 1 species
UACGAGUGCUUCGAGCGUUAUCCGGAAUCAUUGGGCGUAAAGGGUGCGUAGGCGGUCGCAUUAGUCUUCUGUAAAAUUUCCCGGCUUAACCGGGAGCGCGCAGGGGAAACGGUGCGACUGAGAGGACGGGAGAGGUCUCUGGAACUCAUGGUGUAGCGGUGAAAUGCGUUGAUAUCAUGGGGAACACCAAAAGCGAAGGCAAGAGACUGGCCCGCUCCUGACGCUGAAGCACGAAAGCGUGGGUCGCGAAGUGGG